rnacentral:rRNA from 1 species
AUUGAACGCUGGCGGCAUGCUUUACACAUGCAAGUCGAACGGUAACAGGUUAAGCUGACGAGUGGCGAACGGGUGAGUAAUGCAUCGGAACGUGCCCGAUCGUGGGGGAUAACGCAGCGAAAGCUGCGCUAAUACCGCAUACGAUCUGAGGAUGAAAGCGGGGGACCGUAAGGCCUCGCGCGAUCGGAGCGGCCGAUGUCAGAUUAGGUAGUUGGUGGGGUAAAGGCUCACCAAGCCGACGAUCUGUAGCUGGUCUGAGAGGACGACCAGCCACACUGGGACUGAGACACGGCCCAGACUCCUACGGGAGGCAGCAGUGGGGAAUUUUGGACAAUGGGCGCAAGCCUGAUCCAGCAAUGCCGCGUGCAGGAAGAAGGCCUUCGGGUUGUAAACUGCUGUUGUACGGAGCGAAAAGGCUCUCUCUAAUACAGGGGGCUCAUGACGGUACCGUAAGAAUAAGCACCGGCUAACUACGUGCCAGCCGCCGCGGUAACAC